rnacentral:rRNA from 1 species
GGCGAACGCUGGCGGCGUGCUUAACACAUGCAAGUCGAACGGAAAGGCCCUGCUUUUGUGGGGUGCUCGAGUGGCGAACGGGUGAGUAACACGUGAGUAACCUGCCCUUGACUUUGGGAUAACUUCAGGAAACUGGGGCUAAUACCGGAUAGGAGCUCCUGCUGCAUGGUGGGGGUUGGAAAGUUACGGCGGUUGGGGAUGGACUCGCGGCUUAUCAGCUUGUUGGUGGGGUAGUGGCUUACCAAGGCUUUGACGGGUAGCCGGCCUGAGAGGGUGACCGGCCACAUUGGGACUGAGAUACGGCCCAGACUCCUACGGGAGGCAGCAGUGGGGAAUAUUGCACAAUGGGCGGAAGCCUGAUGCAGCAACGCCGCGUGCGGGAUGACGGCCUUCGGGUUGUAAACCGCUUUCGCCUGUGACGAAGCGUGAGUGACGGUAAUGGGUAAAGAAGCACCGGCUAACUACGUG